UACGUAGGGUGCGAGCGUUAAUCGGAAUUACUGGGCGUAAAGCGUGCGCAGGCGGUUUUGCAAGCCGGAUGUGAAAUCCCCGGGCUUAACCUGGGAAUGGCAUUUGGGACUGCAAGGCUUGAGUGCGGCAGAGGAGACUGGAAUUCCUGGUGUAGCAGUGAAAUGCGUAGAGAUCGGGAGGAACAUCAGUUGCGAAGGGCGGCCUCUCUGGACCAGCACUGACACUGAGGCACGAAAGCGUGGGGGAGGCAAACAGG
rnacentral:rRNA from 1 species